CUACGUGCCAGCAGCCGCGGUAAUACGUAGGGGGCAAGCGUUAUCCGGAUUCAUUGGGCGUAAAGCGCUCGUAGGCGGUCUGUUAGGUCGGGAGUUAAAUCCGGGGGCUCAACCCCCGUUCGCUCCCGAUACCGGCAGACUUGAGUUUGGUAGGGGAAGGUGGAAUUCCUAGUGUAGCGGUGGAAUGCGCAGAUAUUAGGAAGAACACCAGUGGCGAAGGCGGCCUUCUGGGCCAUAACUGACGCUGAGGAGCGAAAGCUAGGGGAGCAAACAGGAUUAGAUACCCUGGUAGUCCUAGCCGUAAACGAUGGACACUAGGUGUGGGGGAAUAUUUCUUCCGUGCCGCAGCUAACGCAUUAAGUGUCCCGCCUGGGGAGUACGGCCGCAAGGCUAAAACUCAAAGGAAUUGACGGGGGCCCGCACAAGCAGCGGAGUAUGUGGUUUAAUUCGACGCAACGCGAAGAACCUUACCAGGUCUUGACAU
rnacentral:rRNA from 1 species